rnacentral:rRNA from 1 species
CCUACGGGAGGCAGCAGUAGGGAAUCUUUCACAAUGGGCGAAAGCCUGAUGGAGCAACGCCGCGUGCAGGUUGAAGGCCUUCGGGUUGUAAACUGCUUUUAUAAGCGAGCAAUAUGAUGGUAACUUAUGAAUAAGGAUCGGCUAACUACGUGCCAGCAGCCGCGGUCAUACGUAGGAUCCGAGCAUUAUCCGGAGUUACUGGGUGUAAAGAGUUGCGUAGGUGGCAUAAUAAGUAGCUAGUGAAAUCUGGUGGCUCAACCAUUCAGACUAUUAGCUAAACUGUUAAGCUCGAGACCGUUAGGGGUAACUGGAAUUUCUAGUGUAGGAGUGAAAUCCGUAGAUAUUAGAAGGAACACCAAUAGCGUAGGCAGGUUGCUGGGACGGUUCUGACACUAAGGCACGAAAGCGUAGGGAGCAAACGGGAUUAGAUACCCUUGUAGUC